GACGAACGCUGGCGGCGUGCCUAAUACAUGCAAGUUGAGCGCUGAAGGUUGGUACUUGUACCAACUGGAUGAGCAGCGCACGGGUGAGUAACGCGUGGGGAAUCUGCCUUUGAGCGGGGGACAACAUUUGGAAACGAAUGCUAAUACCGCAUAAAAACUUUAAACACAAGUUUUAAGUUUGAAAGAUGCAAUUGCAUCACUCAAAGAUGAUCCCGCGUUGUAUUAGCUAGUUGGUGAGGUAAAGGCUCACCAAGGCGAUGAUACAUAGCCGACCUGAGAGGGUGGUCGGCCACAUUGGGACUGUGACACGGCCCAAACUCCUACGGGAGGCAGCAGUAGGGAAUCUUCGGCAAUGGACGAAAGUCUGACCGAGCAACGCCGCGGGAGUGAAGAAGGUUUUCGGAUCGUAAAACUCUGUUGGUAGAGAAGAACGUUGGUGAGAGUGGAAAGCUCAUCAAGUGACGGUAACUACCCAGAAAGGGACGGCUAACUACGUG
rnacentral:rRNA from 1 species